CAAUAGCGUAUACUAACGUUGUUGCAGUUAAAAAGCUCGUAGUUGGAUUUCUGAAGGUGGUUGGAUUGGUGUGACCUCGCGUUGCCUCAACCACACUAUUUUCAACAUAUGCGAUGAAUUGGUGUGGUUAAUUAAGUUUGAUCCGCCAUUAAAUCGCUCGUUUACUUUGAGAAAAUUAGAGUGUUCAAAGCAGGCAUCUUGCCUUGAAUAUGUUAGCAUGGAAUAAUAGCAUAGGACUUUGGUUCUAUUUGUUGGUUGUUCGAGAACCGGAGUAAUGAUUGAUAGGGACGGUUGGGGGCAUCCGUAUUCUCAAGCGAGAGGUGAAAUUCUUGGACCUUGGGAAGACGAACAGCUGCGAAANCGNNNGCCUAGGACGUUCUCUUNAA
rnacentral:rRNA from 1 species